UUUUAUUUAUUAGUUUGUUUCUCACCUCUCCAGCCUCUCUUUUGAGUUUAUAUCCCUACAUUGCAAGGUACGUAGAGUAUCUCCUUACCCUGCCACUAUUGUUUAGAUUGAUUCCGGCCGAUGGCCGAGUACCUCUGUUAAACCCCACUCUGUUAAAAAUAAAGUACCCCUGCGGGUGGGUUUCGUGAAACUGUGGUCUCUCCUCCAUUCUUUUUAAGGGUCUAGCGCCCCCAGGCGCCACAAUAUAUAUAUAUAUAUAUAUAUCAGUGGUGUGCAGUGAGGUCCUUCUAACCCAGAAGGGGUGACAAUAAAUGCAUGUAAAUAUUUACAUAAUUUUUAAUCAGGAAAUAUAUAUCAUAGCUAUUAGCUAUACUAAGUGUAACUAAAAUAAAAAAACAGCAACUAAUUCAAAGCAUUAGUCUGUGUUUUUAGUUGCUACAGGAGUCUUAUCUGACUGACAGCGGUUUUAACCAAUUAAAGCUUAAAAUGGCUUCUUUUUUGAGAAGGGUGUAGUAAUAAAUCUAUUAGCAAAGUCGAAGGACAGUCUAACCAAUCAGAUUCAUGAUUUUCACUCCGGGGGCGGGCCAUGGCUGUGUAACCCCUUCUCAGCACUGUGUUGAAGGGGCUAAACGUUGCUUAGUCAUAAACGGAGCUCAUGCUGGAUUAAUUCAAUAGUUAGCUAACUAUCAUGGUGGCUGCAAAUCAUAUAUAUUUAUAUAUAUAUAAAGUGUAGGUCAGCACAUGCGCAGUGCAUUUAGAAGCACGAAUCGAUUGGUAGCAUAACUCGACAGAACACCCCGGUUGGCUUGAAAGUUCAUCCUGUACCUUUUAUUCCACUGCAGUUUGCAGCUUUCUUUCAGUUCUUCUUAUCACUUCAUUUAAUAGGCCUGCGGUUGCAGACAUGUUCUUUCCUUGCAAUAUGCAGCUGUCCUAUAAUGCUGUGUAUACUUGACAGUUCAUUAGCCAAGCUUAUUUUUUUUACUUUAGUUGAUAUUAGUUAGGGUUGCGGUUGCAGAUGCUUACUUUCCAUUUAAUAUGCCUGAAAUGCUCUGUAUAAAUUGGUAGUUCAUUAUCUAAACUUAUUUUUCUUUAUUUAGGUGACCUUGGAAGCACACAACUGUACCCUGACUGCCACUGUAUGCAGUUGUGCAGCUGGUAAAGGGUUGUGCAAUCAUGUAGUUGCACUGCUUUUCCAAACAGCCCACUAUGUGCAGCUUAAUUUGAAUGCUGUGCCACUGCGCCUGCACACGUGAGCUACAAAGAUGGCAUAGGCCAAGGACUUAGGGAGUCCAUCCAGAACAAUUGGGUCAGCUUAUUGUGAGGAAGCUAAAACACUGCAGAAGACUGGAGUAAAGUCUACUCUUUACAAAGCUUAUCCAGGCCCCCUUCCUGAUUAACAUGUUUUGGCAUCAGCAGAGUCAAGUCAGCCCUCGCCCUCUCCUAGUGACGAAAUCAAACCUGUGAAGAGGCUGGAAAGAAAUGUCAAAAUGUUUCUGCCAUGGAGUCAAUUACUUGUUGCCUGGACAUCCAAAUGGGUACUGAACCUAGCACAAAA